CUCGGUCCCUGGGUGCGUUGGGCAGUAGCAGGCGUACUGUCUAGGGGACGGCUGCUCCGCUUUUGCACCCUCCUCUAGGAGGAGAAGGUGUAUGUGGAAUAGGAGGUUGAGGAGGCGGUGACCGUGGCGGCGACGACGCAUUCGGAUAUCUGCCCUAUCAACUUUCGAUGUUACUUUCUGCUCCUACCAUGGUGACCACGGGUAACUGGAAAUCAGGUUUCGAUUCCGGAGAGCUACCACAUCCAAGGAAGGCAGCAGGUGCACAAAUUACCCACUCCCGACGCCGGGAGGUAGUGACG